rnacentral:rRNA from 1 species
UGCCUACGGGAGGCAGCAGUGAGGAAUAUUGGUCAAUGGGAGAGAUCCUGAACCAGCCAAGCCGCGUGAGGGAAGACGGCCCUAUGGGUUGUAAACCUCUUUUGUCGGAGAACAAAACCCGGGACGAGUCCCGGACUGCGUGUAUCCGAAGAAAAAGCAUCGGCUAACUCCGUGCCAGCAGCCGCGGUAAUACGGAGGAUGCGAGCGUUAUCCGGAUUUACUGGGUGUAAAGGGAGCGUAGACGGCCAGACAAGUCUGAAGUGAAAAUCCAGCGCUUAACGUUGGAAGUGCUUUGGAAACUGCCG